GAUUAAAUGGCUGAAGUAUUAGGUAAUAAAUUGUAAAUUUAUGUAUGAGAUUAAUCUCUUUAAUCA
rnacentral:tRNA from 2 species